rnacentral:rRNA from 1 species
GACGAACGCUGGCGGCGUGCCUAAUACAUGCAAGUAGAACGCUGAAGGAGGAGCUUGCUUCUCCGGAUGAGUUGCGAACGGGUGAGUAACGCGUAGGUAACCUGCCUGGUAGUGGGGGAUAACUAUUGGAAACGAUAGCUAAUACCGCAUAAUAACAGUUGUUGCAUGACAACUGUUUGAAAGGUGCAAUUGCACCACUACCAGAUGGACCUGCGUUGUAUUAGCUAGUUGGUGGGGUAACGGCUCACCAAGGCGACGAUACAUAGCCGACCUGAGAGGGUGAUCGGCCACACUGGGACUGAGACACGGCCCAGACUCCUACGGGAGGCAGCAGUAGGGAAUCUUCGGCAAUGGACGGAAGUCUGACCGAGCAACGCCGCGUGGGUGAAGAAGGUUUUCGGAUCGUAAAGCUCUGUUGUAAGAGAAGAACGAGUGUGAGAGUGGAAAGUUCACACUGUGACGGUAUCUUACCAGAAAGGGACGGCUAACUACGUGC